UUUUGCCCCCCCCAUUAUCUUAAUCCACCACCUCAGCUGCUAUAUCAUGGUGUCCUUUUUCAUUCUGUGAGAGAGAGAGAGUGAAAAAAGAUGAAUCUAUAUUCCAUACAGUUGUACCCCCCUCUAUCUUAAAAUAAGUUCAAUUUAUUCCUACGAAACGAAAGAAAGGAAGCUUACGUAGAAACAGAAAAGGUAGGGAGUACGUCAACUGAAAGACACAAAAGUGAAUUAGAAAAUUAGGUUUAUACAGGACCUUUGAAAGAGUGAAUUAUUUUUCACAGUGGGUAAAUGCGGUAGUGUUCGUAAUUAUUGAAGCCAGACACUAUUGAACUGGAAAUGAAUUAACCAAUAUGAAGCACCUGUAGUCGAAAAAUAUUUGCAAGAAUACUAACGAAGCAUGGUGAAGUGGCUAGGAGUGCGACCUCUGGAGGCUUUGGUAGUAAGUAAUUCUGCACUCAUAAAACAAGUCAAAAACUUCCCCUCCUCCAGUAUUAACAUGUAUUAAUUUGAGAAGAUAGUCUACUUACAUAUAAGAUGAAGUACCUGAGAUCCAGAGAUUGGAAGUCUCUUGACCAAGGCUACAGAGUCAGAAAAUGGUAGAGAGGAGGAUCUACAUCGAGUCCUGGAAUCACCAGUCUGCCCUUCACAUUCAUUUGUAGUGUUAGAACCAGUUAUAAAAAUAGGACUUUUUUUUUUUUUAAUGUAGUUUCAGUUAUAAGGAUAGGAGUGGUACUGACUUCAUUAUAAUGAUUCCCUAAUAAGAAGUGCAGGCAUCAAAUACAUUUUAGAGCAUCAGGACCCAUUUUCAAAAGAAACGUUGCACAGAUAACAGCAGAGGAAGCAGCAGAGAGGGCUGGAGUCUCAACCACACAAGCCCUCUUUGUAUCCUAAGGGAAUCAAUUUAAUGUUAAUUUAAGCUUUGCUCUACCCGCCACUACUCUUUAUUUCAUUUAUAAAUUACUGUGUAGUGGCCAGGUGCAGUGGCUCAUGCCUGUAA